AUUGAACGCUGGCGGCAGGCUUAACACAUGCAUGUCGAACGAGUAGCGGACGGGUGAGUAAUGCUUGGGAAUCUAGCUUAUGGAGGGGGAUAACUACGGGAAACUGUAGCUAAUAUCGCUUACCAUAGGAUGAGCCCAAGCGGGAUUAGGUAGUUGGUGAGGUAAAGGCCCACCAAGCCGCCGAGCUCUAGCUGGUCUGAGAGGAUGACCAGCCACAUUGGGACUGAGACACGGCCCAGACGCCGACGGGAGGCAGCAGUGGGGAAUAUUGCACAAUGGGCGCAAGCCUGAUGCAGACAUGCCGCGUGUAUGAAGAAGGCCUUCGGGUUGUAAAGUACUUUCAGUCGGGAGGCGUUACCGACAGAAGAAGCACCGGCUAACUCCGUGCCAGCAGCCGCGGUAAUAC
rnacentral:rRNA from 1 species